UCUGUAGGCUGCAAAUGGUGAACUGAUGGCCGGACAACUUCGGUAGGCGUCGGUGUAGUCGUCUUCAAUCGAUUGCCCCAAAUAAUGAAAUUCAACUGGCAGUGAGGUGACGUUGAUUGGACUUAUAUUGAAUUGCGGCUGGACUUCCCUCGUAGUCGACGGCCUGGUGAUGGAGAAUCAAAAAAACAAAAGCUCAAAAAUUUUGCCAAACAGGCCGUGGCUGCCUAAUGGCGCUUCAGCCAGCUCGCAAAUGGCUCGCUUCACGCAGACUUGGCCGUUGAGUCCAAAGCUAUUUCGAGAUAUCAAACGAUUUUAGAAUUGAUUUAACCAAUAAUUUAUAAAACGUCAGACGUAACAAAAACGAAUCACUUUUGAAAGAAACUUUCUGCAUAUUGAUAAAUCUGUCUUCGAUCGUGGUUAGCUCUCUGAUCGUCCACGAAUUCGUGGCUCAGCUCGUUCGAAGUGUCGGUAUCGUUGUCGUCCUUUGGUGCUUCGGGUA